UAGGGAACCCUCUAUGGUAUUUCAGAUGGUUGUUAGGGAACCCUCUAUGGUAUUUCAGACGGUUGUUAGGGAUCCCUCUAUGGUAUUUCAGACGGUUGUUAGGGAACCCUCUAUGGUAUUUCAGACGGUUGUUAGGGAACCCUCUAUGGUAUUUCAGAUGGUUGUUAGGGAACCCUCUAUGGUAUUUCAGAUGGUUGUUAGGGAACCCUCUAUGGUAUUUCAGAUGGUUGUUAGGGAACCCUCUAUGGUAUUUCAGAUGGUUGUUAGGGAACCCUCUAUGGUAUUUCAGAUGGUUGUUAGGGAACCCUCUAUGGUAUUUCAGAUGGUUGUUAGGGAACCCUCUAUGGUAUUUCAGAUGGUUGUUAGGGAACCCUCUAUGGCAUUUCAGAUGGUUGUUAGGGAACCCUCUAUGGCAUUUCAGAUGGUUGUUAGGGAACCCUCUAUGGCAUUUCAGAUGGUUGUUAGGGAACCCUCUAUGGUAUUUCAGAUGGUUGUUAGGGAACCCUCUAUGGCAUUUCAGAUGGUUGUUAGGGAACCCUCUAUGGUAUUUCAGACGGUUGUUAGGGAACCCUCUAUGGCAUUUCAGAUGGUUGUUAGGGAACCCUCUAUGGUAUUUCAGAUGGUUGUUAGGGAACCCUCUAUGGUAUU